GACGAACGCUGGCGGCGUGCUUAACACAUGCAAGUCGAGCGGUAAGGCCCGUUUCGGGGGUACACGAGCGGCGAACGGGUGAGUAACACGUGGGUGACCUGCCCUUAGCUCUGGGAUAAGCCUGGGAAACUGGGUCUAAUACCGGAUAUGACUCCAUGACGCAUGUUGUGGGGUGGAAAGCCUUGUGCGGCUAGGGAUGGGCCCGCGGCCUAUCAGCUUGUUGGUGGGGUGAUGGCCUACCAAGGCGACGACGGGUAGCCGGCCUGAGAGGGCGACCGGCCACACUGGGACUGAGACACGGCCCAGACUCCUACGGGAGGCAGCAGUGGGGAAUCUUGCGCAAUGGGCGAAAGCCUGACGCAGCGACGCCGCGUGGAGGAUGAA
rnacentral:rRNA from 1 species